UUCCGGAUUAAACUUGUGUAAAUUUUACGUCUCUUUUGUCCAUAAAAUGUUUCCUAAAAUAUUUUUGGCUUUGCUCAACACAAGUUCUUGAAAAUAACCAAAGCAAGGCCAGGAGAGGGAUGGCUUUGAGAGCUUCGAAUCUCCGCCACAAUGAGUCCCAGCUCAAACUGCUGCACUAGAUCAAUUGAGGUCGCUGGCAUGGAGUCUCUGCAACUCCAUUCGGUUGAUGUCCUCUGAUGGAGAAGAUCAUCUCGAUAGGGAAGAAGUGAUUGAUAUCGUUCUUGGAAUUUUCAAGAGCUUCCUCAAGGUUGACCCUUCCUAGUUGCCUUUCUUAAAAAGAAGAGCUCAUCACUUAAAAGGCUCAAUUCUCAGCUCUGAAGCAUAUGGCACUGCUGGAUUCACAUGCCAGGAAGAGAAAUAAAUUCGAUCUUCUAGGUGUCAUUCUCCAAUCUCCAUUCUUCUCUGCUAGUACCAUAUACUACACCAGUAGACCAGCGUUUAGUACUGCUUCACUAGCAAUCUAUGUAUUCAGAAUUUGAGAUUGAAGGAGCAAUGGGUGGUUGGAUUGGUUCUGAUGGACCUUCACACUCUCCUGAAUCCUGACCAUUUCAAAGCUCCCCCAAACUUCCCAAACUUAGCAUUUUUUCCGAUCAAAAACAAAAACUCAUAAGACUAUCUUUCCACCAUACGACUCCUUUUGGGGAAAAAGGUGCAGGAAGAAAAAAGAGGGGGAGGGGGAAACAGAGUUCAGCACGGUUUCAGCUUAGAAUAUCAUAAAGACUCGGUGAAGAAGUGACAUGGGCAGGCCUUGUUUGAUUAUGGUUCUUCCGUUUGCUUUAAUGAGGAAUUCAUGGUUCAUUCUACUUCUCAUUGUCUCAUGGUAUCUGUUAAUGGUAUUUGUUGAUUAAAUAUUCAUUACAUGGUUGUUAAUGGAUAAGUGAAUGUAGGUGGAAAAUUGAUUUCAUUUUUUUAUUUGUACUAAUUUACUUGUCCAGUUUCUUUUGACAAUUUAUGAAAGGAAAAAAAAUAUUUUACUUGAUUA